UUUUGACUGAGCCCAUUGAUUCAUGUGGCUGCAUGACCCCGAGGAAUCAAGGAUCUCUUGGAUUUACACAAGAGUGUUUUGUGUGUACACACUGUUUGCAUUUGUUAUCAUGGGGGGAAAUUGAUUUUUCCCUAUACCUUUCCUUGACUGCUGCCUGAACAAACAGCACCUGUCUGCUGUAUGCUGCUAUCACAGAUGAUGGAGUUCUGCGCUGUAUUGAUUCGGGCAGUACUUCUGGACUUCACCUUUAUCUUCAUCUCAGGAGAAAGUUUUGAACAGCAUCCCCCCGGGUCACAGUGAUGAUGGCAGGGUGCCAAAGGGAAGACAGCGCCUGUGGUGGAGGAGAGCAGGGAGGAAGGAAAGAAGACUCAGAGCUGGCAUAAUCACCAGGGGCAUUGAGCUAAUGAACACACCGCAGGAGCAAUAACAAUAACAACAGGAGGGAUCAGCUUCUCAACUCCUAACAGGAGGGAAGAGGACCUACUGCACAACUGUCAUUAUGGUCUUUUUCAACAACAGCAGAAACAACAGGAGAGCUGAGCUCCAAUACCAGGCAGGAGGGAAGAGAAUAUAUUCUGUAUAACUGUCGUUAAUUCAUAUUUAGAUGUUAAUUGUUUAAGUCAACCAACAGGUAUCAUAAUUGCUCUACCAAUUAAAACGCC
ensembl:lncRNA